AGUUUGUCCAAUUGGAGUUGCCGUUAUUGACGUCAUCAAAAUGCUCCCCGAGCGGAACUGCUACCAACAUCGGAUAAAGAGUACAAGUGCGGACGUACAAUGUCCUCUUCUGGUAUGACCCGACAGGCGUUUGAUGGAGGAACUGAAGGAAAUAGGAAGACGCUGUGUCCAUUUCACGGCUGUAAACGCGUCUACACGGAUGAGAGCGCUUUGGAGAGUCAUGUUAGGGACCAUGGAAUCCCAGCGCAGUCUCUCCCUGG